GCACCGGCUGGCUCGGUUGCAUCAACGGCGUUUCGGCGGCGCCCCGGUGGCGGUGUCCAGUCCGCAGGGCAGGUUCGAAGCCGGUGCCGCCGCG
rnacentral:tRNA from 1 species